GUGAAGCAGGUAACAGCUCAAAUUUGAAAUCUGGUCCCCUCUGGGGGCCCGAGUUGUAAUUUGAAGAGGAUGCUUUUGGCGAGGCGCCUUCCGAGUGCCCUGGAACGGGACGCCACAGAGGGUGAGAGCCCCGUAUGGUAGGACGCCGAGCCUCUGUAAAGCUCCUUCGACGAGUCGAGUAGUUUGGGAAUGCUGCUCAAAAUGGGAGGUAAACCCCUUCUAAAGCUAAAUAUUGGCCAGAGACCGAUAGCGCACAAGUAGAGUGAUCGAAAGAUGAAAAGCACUUUGAAAAGAGAGUUAAACAGCACGUGAAAUUGUUGAAAGGGAAGCGCUUGCGACCAGACUUGCGCCCGUCGGAUCAACCGUCCUCGUGGGCGGCGCACUCCGGCGGCUCAGGCCAGCAUCAGUUUUCCCGGGGGGAGAAAGGCGGUGGAAUGUGGCUCUUCGAGUGUA
rnacentral:rRNA from 1 species